UACGAAGGGGGCGAGCGUUGUUCGGAAUUACUGGGCGUAACGGGCGCGCAGGCGGCUCUGAAAGUCAGAUGUGAAAGCCCCGGGCUUAACCUGGGAAUUGCAUUUGAUACUCUGGAGCUUGAGUACGGGAGAGGAGAGUGGAAUUCCCAGUGUAGAGGUGAAAUUCGUAGAUAUUGGGAAGAACACCGGUGGCGAAGGCGGCUCUCUGGACCGUAACUGACGCUGAGGCGCGAAAGCGUGGGGAGCAAACAGG
rnacentral:rRNA from 1 species